rnacentral:rRNA from 1 species
CCUACGGGUGGCAGCAGUGGGGAAUAUUGGACAAUGGGGGGAACCCUGAUCCAGCCAUGCCGCGUGUGUGAAGAAGGCCCUCGGGUUGUAAAGCACUUUCAGUGAGGAAGAACGCCUGGUGGUUAAUACCCAUCAGGUAAGACAUCACUCACAGAAGAAGCACCGGCUAACUCCGUGCCAGCAGCCGCGGUAAUACGGAGGGUGCGAGCGUUAAUCGGAAUUACUGGGCGUAAAGCGCGCGUAGGUGGCUUGAUAAGCCGGUUGUGAAAGCCCCGGGCUCAACCUGGGAACGGCAUCCGGAACUGUCAAGCUAGAGUGCAGGAGAGGAAGGUAGAAUUCCCGGUGUAGCGGUGAAAUGCGUAGAGAUCGGGAGGAAUACCAGUGGCGAAGGCGGCCUUCUGGACUGACACUGACACUGAGGUGCGAAAGCGUGGGUAGCAAACAGGAUUAGAUACCCCAGUAGUC